GUAUAAGAGACAGCAGUCGCCACGGUAAUACGAAGGGUGCAAGCGUUAAUCGGAAUUACUGGGCGUAAAGCGCGCGUAGGUGGUUCAUUAAGUUGGAUGUGAAAGCCCUGGGCUCAACCUGGGAACUGCAUCCAAAACUGGUGAGCUAGAGUACGGUAGAGGGUAGUGGAAUUUCCUGUGUAGCGGUGAAAUGCGUAGAUAUAGGAAGGAACACCAGUGGCGAAGGCGACUACCUGGACUGAUACUGACACUGAGGUGCGAAAGCGUGGGGAGCAAACAGGAUUAGAGACCCCAGUAGUCCCUGUCUCUUAUAC
rnacentral:rRNA from 1 species